rnacentral:lncRNA from 1 species
AACAAGACUAAACAUUAGGUCCAAACCUAGGCAAAAAGAAUCAAAGGAAAAUAUAGAUUACAGGUUGGAUGUGAAAAAGGCAAAAAAGAGUAGAUAAAGUAAUUGAGAAUGAAGGACAGCUGCCAGAAGAAGGCAGCUUUGAUAGAGGAAAAAGCAGCUUGUCUUGUCGCAGAUUCUGUUUUGCCCUAUGUCAGCAAACGUGGAACAUAAGAAGCAAGAACAUCUCAAGACAUCCACUGAAGGAAGAAGAGGAGAAAACAAAAUAAGAAGACAAAAACGACAAUAACGUAUUCAGCAAUAAUAGAUGGCAGACACAAAAGAAGGAACAUUGGAGGGAAAAAGUAGUAGGGCCUGAAAAAAGUGGCAGAGGUGGACAGCACAGUCAUCACCCAAAACAAAAGCAAGUGCAGGUGGGGAGUUCAAACACAGUCUUAUGGAACUGAUUAAAAUGACAUAAAUAUGGGUAAAACACAGCAUAAAGUAGGAACAGGCAGUACCCCCAAAGGGCUAAACCUAUGGAAUUCUGAGAAGAAAAUAUGGAUAUGAGUUGAGACACAAGAAAGAACAUUGAAUACUAGCAAAUCUUAUUCCAAAGGACUGCGGUCGGGCUCUUCCUUUUGAUCUGGAAGGGAGACCCAUGGUACAGUUGCAGCUCGAGAGGAGAGGCACACAGUCAAGCCACAGAGGAAGGAGAUGUGCUUUUGGGAAGUCCUGAUGACCACACCCCUGGCCGGGCCUUCCAGUGGUCCAUAGGCUGCCAGCCAGAGAAAUGGAAUGAGUAAUGAGAAUGAUGAUAAUUGAGAAGAGUAGUUGUGUUCUGAUUAUUUAAAAACUAUUCCUAAUAUACAAGUAAAAUAUUCAUUCUAGAAAAAUUCUUUGAAAGAAAGAUAAUCGAAUCAAAUAUGAGUAAAAGAAAAUUCACGAUCCUAAACAGCGAUGUUUCUGAGGGAGAAAAUGCCACUGACAUUUCUAAUUAGUCAUUUGAAGUUUUUGCAGGAACUGCCCACCCAGUCCCA